AUUGAACGCUGGCGGCAGGCCUAACACAUGCAAGUCGAGCGGAGCGGCGGACGGGUGAGUAAUGCCUAUGAAUCUGCCUGUUGGUGGGGGAUAACGUCCGGAAACGGGCGCUGAUACCGCAAACUCUCAGCUUAGCCUAGGUCGGAUUAGCUAGUUGGUGGGGUAAAGGCCUACCAAGGCGACGAUCCGUAACUGGUCUGAGAGGAUGACCAGCCACACUGGAACUGAGACACGGCCCAGACUCCUACGGGAGGCAGCAGUGGGGAAUAUUGGACAAUGGGCGAAACCCUGAUCCAGCCAUGCCGCGUGAGUGAAGAAGGUCUUCGGGUUGUAAAGCACUUUAAGUUGGGAGGCGUUACCAACAGAAUAAGCACCGGCUAACUACGUGCCAGCAGCCGCGGUAAUAC
rnacentral:rRNA from 1 species